CCGUCUUCUUUGCCCGUUUGUUCCUCAUUCCAUCGCCAUCCAUUUCCUCUCUGUUCUUCCUUCUUGCGCCGGCCAUGGUUGCUUCUGCUUCUGUUCGUUCUGGACGCCGCCGUCGGGGUCAUCCUCCUGGGAUUCGGGCCUCCAUUAUUGCCCGUGUUCGGCGUACUCGCAUGCAUGUUCCUUCUAUCGAUUCUUCGUCGGUGACACCAGCAGCUGCUAUGCGUCGCCAGUUUGCUGGAGUUGAUUCAGGGAGGCGUUCCCGCUCCGCGGCGGCUUGCCGGCUGCUCCGUUCUCGCCGGCCUGCAUUCUGACUCGGAGCAGUUUCUUGAUGGAGAUUUUCAUAGCCGCGGUCGGGAGAUUUUGUUAGGGAAGCGGUUUGUUGACUGUACUGUUGAUUCUACCAUCAGUGGUGCUUCCUCUUUCGUCUGUCAUGGCCUUCCGUCUGCUAUUCGGUCUGCUGGUGUGCGAACUGACUCCUUGGUGGUGCAGAUGAUUGACAGAUCAACUGAGUCCCACCAUUAGUGUCGGUUCUUCUUUUGCGGUUGAUGGCCUUCCGCCUGCUGCUCGGCUCGCUAGUGUGCGAACGGAUUCCUCGGUCGUGCAGAUGACUGACAGAUCGAUUGGUCGUCCUUCCGAUCUCCUGCUGGUCUCCAUCUUGAUCGUUAUUUACUUGGUGCUCUGUCUGUGGUCAACCAUCCAAGAGUGGUGCCCCUUCGUGCGGCUGGUGCCGUCGGACGGUGACUCACUCACCUGUACAUGCUCUAUAUAUUACCAGUUGUACACUCGCGGGCAAGAUCACCUGAGUACACCACAAUGGACGAAGCCUACCGUCCCCAAUGAGCAUCCUCCAUAGGAAAGCAAGUUAAGAAGAAGGGUAAUCAUCCGGCUCUAAAUUUUAUGCAUGGGAGCGGAAGCAGCUCGGUAAACUCUUGGCUUCACCUAACUCUUUUUGUCUUAGUUUAUCCCUUGCAAGCAAGCAAUUUACUACUAUAUUACAAAUCCUUCUAUGCAGAGGAGAAUCUUAUAGUAUACAUUUCAAGACGACCAAUGCUUGAAACAGUGACUGAAACAGUUGGUCUAGAAGUACAAGGCUACACAUGUUGGUAUGCUCAUGAAGGUAUGAUACAAGCGUCCGUACUAAUUGCUCUGCCACGUCAGAAAGAUAGUUUCAGAGAAUCCUCCAUUACAUAUGAAGGAGAAACAACUAAUUAAGAAGAUGAAGCAAUGGAAAAGGCAGCUCAGGUGGCCUUAGAAUGCAUCUGCGCAGAUUAUAAUAUUUCUAUCAAUGACCAUAAUUACUACGCCCUUGAAGUAACAAAAGAAAGGUUGUUUAUAGCAAGACAGAAAGCUCAGACAAAACAAUGGCAAUUCAAUAUGGCCCACCAGCAAGCAACUACACAGCAAAACGAGUUUGCAAGACAGACAAUGAUUUCGGCAAAGAUAUGCAGCAGCUUCUUUGAUGUAUUACCACUUCGCAUGUAUCCCAGCGCCCAGAUAGCGAUGAUCCCAUUAUCACAUACAUGGGCGCGCAUCCUCCCGUCGGACGUGUGCAGGAAUUAACAAAAUCACUCUACCACUUUCUCACAGGCAUCAAUCCUGCAAGAGGAUAUACUAGGAUGAUCUAAUCCACUAGCAACUACUUCUAGCUCAUUUAUGUAGUGUGUUCGUAUUUUUAUAUACAGUUCUCUGUUUUCAGUGAACUGUAUGUAGUUUGAAUAACUGGUUUGCUUCUGAAGUGUGCCUACUUUAAAUU